UUCGUGACUGUUAGUUCUCCCGCGACUCUUAUUCAGUAACCCGACUCCUUCAUCAUCGGGUGAUGUAUUUGAUUUGGUAUGUAAAUUGGUAAAUCUUAGAUUCUCCGCAGUAGUAAUAGUAGAUGUAUCAGUUGUAAAUUUUCUGAGUUUCAGGUCUCGCCUAGUUUUUCUGGCAGACCGAAGUAUUUAUGUAGAAUGUAGCUAUUAAGAUAAUUUGUGGUUUUAAUAAUAUUAAUUUGAGAUGAGAUUUGUUUAAAUCAGUGAGUGUCAGGCUUACUACGGGUUUCGGUGGCCUUAAGCCUACCCAUUCCCUAGUGCCGGUCACGGGCCCACGGAUGGGGUCGUGACAAAGUUGGUAUCAGAGCUAAGUUAAGAUUUUUCUUGGUACUGCGGAGUUAGGAUCAUGUCUGUCUUGUUGUUUUCAUUGACUCCAGUGUCUCAGCCUUCACUGUUAGAGAGUCAGUCUUUCCUUUCUUGUAAGCUUGUCCUUGGUGCUGUGCUGAGAAUGUGCUUUGUAGCGAUGGGAGGAUCCGAAGCGCGAUAGACUCGUGCUGUUUCUUCAAGUGAUUAGUGCAGUCCGCCUUUAGAAGCUUUGAUUGUGGUUUCGAUGGUGGGCACCGCAGUCAGUUUUAGUGUAGAGCGUGGUUGCAGUCGUGUCAUGAGCUGCCUCGUCAUCGCACCAGGCAUCGCCUUAUUGAGUAGCGCCGAAGUUAGUGCCUGGGAAGUCGAGUAGAUGUCAGAGCUUUAUGGUUGAUUUUUGUGGUUGUAAGAAGCUUAAGAAAGGUGGCAGGAGUAUUUUCGGACGCUCAGAAUCCAGAGAAACUUAAGCGAACAUUAUUUAUUUUUCUAAGUAGAAUAAGUGUUUUUGAAAUACAAUAUUGCGCCCAGUCCCGUAAGAAUGCAUAUGGCAUUUCACUGUUAGGCAUACAUAAAUUCAUUUUAGGACAUGCAUCAUACAUCGUGCAUUGCAACCCUUGGUGAUAGGGGCAUCAUCACCCUGGUGCGCGAUAUUGUAGAAUUUUAUAUAAAAAAAUGGCUAGAGAUUUUACGAUUUUGUAAAAGUGUUUUUCAAGAUAAUAAAGUUUUUAUCAGUGAUGAUUAUAAAGUAAGUAAAGAUGUAAUUUUUCAAAGUAAAUAGUGUUAGCUUGAGAAUUCUCUGGAUGACGAGUUGAGUUGCUGAGAGAGUAAGUCUGUGGAGCUGUAGGCCCCAUGUUAGAUAAUAAAGGACGCUUUUGGAUUUUAGUCAAAGAGGAAUCUUGUGUCAGGAUGGCAUGGUUUAUAUCGGUUGAUGCGAUUAGAUGGAUGGUAUAUCGAGGAUGAUGUGAUGUAGAUGUUAAGGAUUUUUCUGUACGUGCAAGGGACACGUCAUUAGGAAGGAAAUUUGGUGAGUGGAUUUUUGGCAGGAUCAGAAUUGGCCCUUCUUGUGUGGAAACCCUUGGUUUUGUCGGCAGGUUGGUGAGGUGGAAUGUAAGUUGGACUUGCCGCCAAGUAUUAGUAAGGUUCUCUGAGGUCAAAUCCAGUUGUUUGUAACUCUGAGUUGAGGAAGUAUAUUUUCGAUCUUUGCUCGUGUUGGAUCCUCAGUGUGCGGAAGCAAGUGAAGAUUUGGUUUCGGGGUUUUGUCGAUGAGUCUUGUGGUUUAGUUUAGUUUCUGCCGAGGAAAGUUCCCGAGAAGCCGAGUUGGAGAUGAGAGGUUCCUAAUUAGUUUCAGUCUUAGAGUGUAGCCCCUUUUCUUUUAAAAUUCGAGGUCGAAUUUUUUUUUUAAGGGGGGGAGAAUGUAACACCCGGAAUUUUUUAUAUAUUUAAUAAUGAGUUUUUAUUUAAGUUAAUUUUAGCUUCAUUAUUAUUGGGUUUAAUUUGAAAUGAUUUAAUGAAAAAUUUAAUAUUAAUCAAAUAAAUGAGUUAUUUUCUAUACCCAAUUACUUUGAAAUUUUAAGAAAUUAUUCAAGUAAAUUAUUUGAGAAAUGAUUAUAUUUUGGUUAUUCAAAUUUUUCCAAAUGCAUAUUUAUAUAAGUAAAAUUAUAUAUUGAAAAAUUUUGGAAGAAAUUAUAAAGGAUGUUUUUAUAAAAGAAUUUCGAAAAAAUUGGUAUUAUAAUUGAUUAGUAGUAUUAAAUUUUAAGUUGGAAAUUGAUUAUUUAAUUUAAUUGUGUGUUAGGACUAAAUUGGAAAUUUAUUUUGGAAUAAGGAUUGAAAGUAUAAUGUUAUUUUUAUGGGGUUUUAAUGGAAAUUUGUGAGCUUGGUAUUUUUGUAAAUAAAUAUGUCGGUCAGGGGUAUUUUUGUAAUUGUGUAUUUUCAAUAAUUCGGAUUUGGCCCAAAUUAAAUAGUUAGGGGCUUAAUUGAAAGGCUAAAAAGAAGUUUGGGGGUCAAAUUGGAAUUCUGCAGGAUGAAAUUGUAAGUAAUUAAGAAAGUUGAGGGACCAAGUUGUAAUACGGAAAAGUUCGGGGGCCUAAUGUCGAUAUUGAAAGAAAUGGAAUCGGGGAGAGAGAAGGUAGAGAGAGAGAGAGAGAGAGAGAGAGUGCGGCGCCGGGAAGAGAGAGAGAGGGACGCUGCAGGCGUCGGUGGCGAGCUCCGGGGGCACGAAGCGGCGUGCGUUGGCGAGCGCAGCGGCGACGGCAACAGCGGCUCCAGCGGUAGCGUGAGGCGGCGGGAAUCGCGCGUGUGGCAGCGGCUUUCAAAGGCCGUUCCGGCCAUUUUCGGCGGCCUUUCCGGCCGAUCUUGGUGGCGAUCGGCUCCCCUUGGAGAGAGCUUCCUUUUGGCGGUAGCGGCGUCGAUUUUGGUGGCCGGAGGAGAGAGUUCCGGCGAAGUGAAGGCAGCCGAGUUUUUGGGCUUUUCCGGCGAGCUCCGGCGGAGGAUGGACGAUCGGAGGACGUAUCCCGACUCUCCUCAGCUCAAGCUUCGCGAUGGCACUGGUUUCGUGGCGAUCGGGCUUCGUUUGCGAAUCGACGGUCGAGAUCGUCCGUAAAUCUCUCCGGAUGAUCGGGUGUCAGAUCGGAAAAUCGAAAGCACGGAUCGUCGUCAGCGCGUCGUUGUGAGUCCGAUGGUGUGUUCAGAUCGUCGAUCGGACUCCGGCGGCCGGAGGCGAGUCGACCGAGCGUCUCGGUAAAUUUCUCUGGCCGUUGAUCUUAGAAAUCCUUGAUUUUAAAUUUGUGUUUAUUGGGUUAUAUUGAGUAUUUGAUGAUAUUUGUGAGUCAAAAAUAUUUGUCUGUCAGUUGGCCUGCCAUAGUCGUAUUUUGUGCUGUGUGGUGGAGUCGGGAAAUAGUGAAGUUUUGGGACCCGACUCCUAUUGUUUGAAUCGUUAAGUAUUUGAAGUGUUCUUCUGGCAGGUCCUAGACCCGUUUUUACGGGGGGUAGUGUUCGUGUUGUAGGGGAGGUUCUGCCGGAUUUUCGGUAGAAUUUUCUCGAGUCGAGAUUCUUAGACAGUCAGUCCUAGGAGUCUAGACCUAGGAUUAAUGAUCGAUUGUCUCAGCGUAUUGAUAAAUUGUUUUCCGUGAUUAGAUGAUCUGUCUGUUCGGCUCGCUCCAACCGAGGCACCGGAGCAGAGCUAGGAGGUCGCCCAAAGCUGUGAGUUAAAGUCAUUUAAUCUUUGCGCUACUGCUAAUCUGAUUUUAAUAUGCUAUUUAGAAUUUGUGCUUAAUAUGAUUAUUAGUAUCGCAAGAUAAAUGAUUUCACUUGAUAUUUGAAAUAUAUAAAUAUUAUUANNNUGGUCGAGCAUGGCUCUCUGGGCUGAUUUGUGUAAAUUGCCGGAGGUAAGGUCCCUAGUCGAGCAUUGCUCUUGGGGCGCCGGCUUAUUUGGAUACUUAAGUGACCAGAUUGGAGGUAAGGUCCCUGGUCCAGCAUUGCUCUCGGGGCGCCAGUCUUAUUGGAUUAAGAGAGCCGAAUGACUACUAGAUUUCUUAUUUGGAUACUUAAGUGACCAGACUGGAGGUAAGGUCCCUGGUCGAGCAUUGCUCUCGGGGCGCCAGUCUUAUUGGAUUAAGAGAGCCGAAUGGCUACUAGAUUUUGGGGUUUAGGGUUCUACCGAGCCACUCGUCCCGUAAAAGUAAAUAUAUAUUUUUAUUUAUUUAUUUAUUAUGGUAUUUGAUUAUAAUGUGAUUUGUAUUUACGUGCAUGGUUGAUAUUUUGAUUCGAAUGAUUAAUAUUUUAUGUGAAGGAAAUAGUAGGGUAUGAUUAUAGUAUGGUUUGAUAUACUGAUUUGAAUAAUCUAUGUUUUCUGAGAAGAAGCAAUAGUCCCUAGAUUAUUUGAUUUUAACUCACUCUCGAGACUGACAGUCUCCAUUUAUGUUUUUUUCAGAUUCGUGACUGUUAGUUCUCCCGCGACUCUUAUUCAGUAACCCGACUCCUUCAUCAUCGGGUGAUGUAUUUGAUUUGGUAUGUAAAUUGGUAAAUCUUAGAUUCUCCGCAGUAGUAAUAGUAGAUGUAUCAGUUGUAAAUUUUCUGAGUUUCAGGUCUCGCCUAGUUUUUCUGGUAGACCGAAGUAUUUAUGUAGAAUGUAGCUAUUAAGAUAAUUUGUGGUUUUAAUAAUAUUAAUUUGAGAUGAGAUUUGUUUAAAUCAGUGAGUGUCAGGCUUACUACGGGUUUCGGUGGCCUUAAGCCUACCCAUUCCCUAGUGCCGGUCACGGGCCCACGGGUGGGGUCGUGACA
rnacentral:lncRNA from 1 species